CCUACGGGAUGCAGCAGUGAGGCAUAUUGGGCAAUGGAGGCAACUCUGACCCAGCCAUGCCGCGUGAGUGAAGAAGGUUUUCUGAUUGUACAGCUCUUUCGGAUGUUACGAUGAUGACGUUAGCAUCUAAAGAAACCCCGGCUAACUUCGUGCCAGCAGCCGCGGUAAUACGAAGGGGGCAAGCGGUGUUCGGAAUUACCGGGCGUAAAGGGAGUGUAGGCGGUUUGAUAAGAUAGUGGUGAACUCCCAGGGCUUAACUUUGGAAUUGCUAUGAUAACUAUUAGACUAGAAUUACAGAGAGGAUAGUGGAAUACCCAGUGUAGAGGUGAAAUGCGUAGAUAUUGGGUAGAACACCAGUGGCGAAGGCGACUAUCUGGCUGUACAUUGACGCUGAGGCUCGAUAGCAUGGGGAUCAAACAGGAUUAGAUACCCGAGUAGUC
rnacentral:rRNA from 1 species